AUAGCGGAGGAACCGUCCGCCAAGCGUCAUCAUGGCGAGACGUCAGACAAGACCAGCAACCUCGUCGACAUUCACACGUCGGACAAGACCAGCAACCUCGUCGACAUUCACGUCCCUAGCGAGAAGCGCGAGUACACCAAAACACUCACAUGGGUUGAGCUCCACGGCAAGGAGACGCUGGAGAUCGUCUGCACCAGCGAACCAGACAAGGCCGACAAGAUGAUGAGCAGGCUCAGGAUGAAGGGCGGUGGCUUGUAUCCGAGCUUCAUCGGAGUUGAUGUGGUACACCAGCGAAGAUGA
rnacentral:rRNA from 1 species